rnacentral:lncRNA from 1 species
UUUCUUGCAUGUAUCAAACCCCGAACCUCACUGUGACUCUGCUGCUUUUAUAAAACACAGCUACUCUUUCGAGGACAGCCUACACGUUCUGGGUCUGGAUGAUAGUUUAGAGGAAGGAAGCUCAAAUCCAAUCCUAACUAGAGGAGCUUACCUGUCCUUGAUUUACCUGCGUCAUCUCAAACUCAGACGGCUCCAGGUGAGAUGAAACUAGAAAGGUCUGAUGUUCUGCAUGAUGGUUACUAUAAACCUUCUUCAUAGGAGCAGUUUUCAAUUCUCAUUAUGAGCUGAAAUGUCGAUAACAAUAGUCCAUCUUCAUGUCUCCCACCCACAGCGGAUUUCUCUCGGGUUGUUAAACUACCUGCGCUCUGUUGAGAGGACUUUGACCUUUGAACUCGCUGGUCUGCAGCUGCAGGAAGGUGAGCUGUGCAGCACAGCGAAGGAAACGGGCUGGAUGAACGCAGCCAGAGGAGGACGAGGGGAGGCAGGAGGUCUCGGCUCGGUGCAGUACAGCCACAACACUCCUGUAGACUACAACGUCCGUUGCUCAGAGUUCAUGGAGUUUGCAGACGUGGAGAAUCUUCAUGAUUUCUACAGCUAUGAGGAGCAGUUCAUCCACACUCAAGACCACAGAGGGUUUUACAUCAUGUAUGAUGCUGCUCUGAAGGACUUGGAGGAGCUGAAGAACGAACUUCUUCUAGUUGGUUCACACUUUAUCCAGAGAAACCAGAUUAUGAAAAUGGGAAAACAUGAGAGCGUCUCCAACUCAAGAGAAGACAUUCAGUCCUGGGCCGGGGCAGAUAUUGAUCGUGUCGCAGUGCUUCUCGACUUGUGGACAUGUGAGACUGAGUUUUUGGAGAACAAAGUGCAGCUCUUGAAUUGUUACUAUGAAGCCUACCAGCAUGCAGCAGGGGCAGAGGAGAGGUUUGCAUUGGCCCGAGUUAUCACUGACAUCAUGCACAGUAGACCACAGCUGGACCUAAACCAGGAUUAUUUUGUUCAGGCCUACAGGGCAGAGAUCAGCUGCCUGCAGAGCCAUAGACAGCUCAUCAAAGACAUUCUGGACAAUCAGAUUGAAAAACAGCGACAGUACCUCCAACGCAUUUGGAGAGAUGACCGUAAAGGCUCCUCUCGGGAUUAUGGUCUCCUGCCCAACUACAUUCCCAAACAUCUGGUCUCACUUGGAGGCAGCAGGUAA